GCCCGGGGCGGUGCCCGGUGCCCGCGCCUUGUUUACGGGCGCUGCGGCCCCUCUCCUGGCGGGCACCGAGCCUUUCCGGGCGGAGGCGGAGGCCGUGGGCUCUUUCCGGGGCGUCAUCGGCGCCAUCCACCCGUCAGGUCCCGGGAAGUCAGGAGAGCACACACUGGCAUGUAUGACAUCUUGGAUUUGAUCCCCAGCACUGCCAAAAAUACAAUAAAACAACACAUAGAGGCUGUGUAGCACUGAUACUGUCCAUACUGUCUCAAUUGGAACUGAGCUGAGGCGCUUCAGCCCCCGUGGGGCAGUAUCCGUUCAUCUGUCCGAGGGCUCCACAUGUCUGUCCAGUGUUCUAAAGAGCAGUUAUCCAUCCAGAUAAGUAUUGCCCUUUGUGCCUUGUUUUGACGCGUAAAAUGAAAUGUCACUAACUAAAGUCCCGUAAGGAAACACGGGUUAGUGAGGUUCGCUAGGAAGUAAACAAAGCAACAACUUGUGAAACGUAAGCAGAUGCCUCUCACUGCUGUUUCCCGCCCUGCCGCCUCUGCUGAGUGCAGAUUUCAGUUCAGAUAAACACGUUCUAAGAACUGGGGCUGAGGUAAACACCAGCCUUCUUGCUAGUGCUCGCGAGCUCUUUAUUAAAGCUUUCCAUACCAGCCUAGCAUCUUCCUGUUGAAAGAGAAAAAAUAAGAAUCACAUAGUAAAAAUACCUUAAAAUUAUAUUUUACACUGUAAGAACCCCUUUAAGAUAGUAAAAAUAAACAUUAAAAAGCCAUACCCACUGCUAUUAAAAAUGAAAAUAGAAAAUGAGCUAUAUUGAUGUUCUGUUGCUGGAUAUUUUUCUGUUUUUGAGUAAAGGUGUGCCUAAUUUUAAAACUCCUCCCACUAAAACUACAAUACAGUUUCAAACCUCACAAUGUAAAUGUCAGAGAAAAUUAAACCACAGAUCAGCAUCUAUAUCUUUCUCAGUGCAAAAUAUAAAACCCAGCACACAUUACUAAACAUGUGUUCAGGAUUUAUUAAGCCUCAUAUUUUAGGAAUUAUCCAAAAUGUCAGUCUUUCCCAUUAGCUUUCUAUCUAAAUAGGGCACCAUUAAAUAUCCUUGCAUGUUUGACCUCUUUCACGUUUACCUUCGGUUACAGCAUUUUACACAUAAUUUGAAAACAAAACCUUGUAGUACGUAUUAUAACCAUCAUCUGGCGUUUUUCUGGGCUGUCUUACUGCCUAAUUUCAAUUCUCUGUGUUGCUGUGUACAAGCCCAUUUCCUAGUGGCACAUGGUCCAGAGAGUCCUGCUCAUCUUUGAACCCAGGAAGUUCCGCCAAGUCUCAAAUAUUACAUCAGAUUGCAGAUUCGGGAAGAUUCCAGGAAAAGGUGAUAUGAAGACAUCAUAGAAAACAAGCAUUGAGCUCUGUCUUCAUACUGGAGACUACUGUUUUUCAAUGACAUUUACAUUUACACUUAGAAGAAAGAAAAGGGGUCAGGCCAAGUAAGUAAUGUAGAAUUGGCAUCUUCUAACACCGACUUUUCCAGUGCUGUAAAAACAAAGAGUAUAAACGUGGGAGCCCGAGGGAAAUCUGCACGUGUGAGGUUCAUCGCAGCAGGAGUCAUUGGGAUUCCAGCCGUUCUCCGUCACUCAAGUACAGCAGACCUGCCUGCGCUCAGUGGCUUUUCUCCGUGGUGAGGAGACUGCCCCCAUGCACGGAAACAGUGUGGUCAGCAGUUUGGGUCUACUUUCCAAGGGCUAAAGAUACAUGGGGGAAAUGAGUCUCCUCUCCACUAAGAGCUUGCUUCCCGAACCCGUUUGACUGUGUGGAGAUAUCAGUAUUAAUUCGGAAAGAUUAUACCUAGCCAGGGGUUACCUUUCAACAUACAAAGCAAGAUUCUCCUGGUAAAAAUAUUUUCAGUUUACAAGACUAAUGAAUAAGACAUCUAUAUUUUAAGUCCAGUAUCUGUUGCCACCCUAGAUUCUACUUAUUUUUCUUUGUGAUUUUACUAAAGACGUAUAUAAACAUUUCUGCAUUGUACUUAUACUUAAGCAUAAUAUAAACAUUAUCAUACUACUUGUAUUCUUUUACAGCUUGCCUUUUUGACUUAACAUUUUUUUAAAUCCAGAUAUAAUUCAUAUAAUUCAGUUGUUUUCAGUACAUUCACAAAGUUGUGAAAUCAUCACUAAUGUCUAAAUCUGGAACUUUUUUGUCACCCCAAAAAGACACUUCCAGAACCCUUUUCAGAAUUUCCCUCCCCAGUUUCUGCCAGCCACAGCUUUCUGCCUGUGUCCCAUGAUUUGGAGAAAUAUCUAUUUUCACUCACCUAGCUAUAGUUCAUUCAUUUUAACUGUAAUACAUGUAUAAAGAUUUUCACAUCUGUGAAUGGAAAUAUGUUAUAGUUGUUUAUAUUUAAAUUUUAAUAUUAGUAUUUUGAAAAGCACAUUUAAACAUUUAAAAUUUCUUUUAGCAAAUAUUGUGUAUACAUAUAUAUUCUUAUAAGCUGUUUUCUAGACAGAAAGUGGAAUUUCCUGUUAAUCCCACCUGCCUUUUGUUUAAGAGGGUGUACAAAUUCAUAAUUCCACUAGCAGCACUGACUUUUAAAAUUCUUACCCAUUGAGCUAUAUAGUCAGUGUUUAUAAACAUCUAAUAUUGUUGCUUUAUGAAAAUAUUUUCAUUUAUUACUUGUCUUUUCAUUUUCUUUAGGUUGUCUAUUGAAUAAGCCGAAAUUCUGAACUUUAUGCAAGUUUGAAUGUAUCAAUUUUUCCUUUUAGGUUCUGUACUUUUCUGAUUGGUUUAAGUUUUUUCUCUUCCAAAUUCCCAAGUAUUUAUUCCUUCAUUUCCUUUCUCUAUUUUUGGCUGAUUUCACCUCCACUAUAUGUUUGCAUAUAAUAGUGGCUAAAAUUCAUUGUUUUCCUUCUAAUUUCUUUUUUCUUUUUGAACCUAAUGUAAUACAUGUAGAUAUUAAUAAAGAAAAUAUGAAAAGCACUCUCUUCCUUUGAUAAAAAAUUUUUAAAUCUCAUAAUAAAAUACUUAGAAUAACUAGUUAAUGCACUGUGUACCAUGAUCUUAUAUGAGAAACUCAAAAUAUGAACAUACACUGGUAUAAAUAAACAGCAAAAUAGAAGAUAGAGAAAUGAGAAGUAGAGAGGAGUUCAAAUGAUUCCCCUCAAUUCUCUAUUCCACAGUUUCAAAAAUAGUUCAGUAUGUAUGGUCAUUUGUCUCAUGUAUACUACUAGUUUCUCUUCGUUGAUUGAAAAGGUUUGUGCUAUUAUCUGUUUCUUUUUUGUAAGGGAGUCCUUUCCGUCUCUGACUUGUACUCUGAGUAACAUUUUGGCCAUUUUUCUUUGGCUCUGCGGCUUUCAUGGACUCUUUCUGACUUUCACCCCAACAGAGCAGCCACAUCUCUGCCUCCAUCCUUUCCUGCUGCCUUCCGUGUGCUUAGGGUCCCCCGGCCCGGUCCGUGCUGCCUGGGCGUGUAUUUCUACAGCGCGGCUCUGCCUGCUGAGCCACUCCCCGCCAGCUCUGCACGAGCGAUGUGGAUUUGCUAACCCUUCCUUCUCUCAUUUUAGAAUUAGCUUUCAGGGUUUAAAUACUUUUAGAAAGCUUGCUCAUCAAUAGGACACUUGGUUCUCAUGCCCACAAAAAUGGCACUCCAUGCUUUUAGGUGAUUUUAAAUUUACUUUGUGUAAAGUUUUAUGAUUUUCCACAGAGGUCUUAAAUAUAUUUUGUUAGAUUUAUUCCUAGCACUGGAAAUAUUUUGUCACUCUUGUAAAACAAUGUCUGUAUAAGAAAUUACAUUUUCUCAUUGUUGCUUAAUAUAGAAUAAAAUUGAUUUUAAUUUCUCUUA